rnacentral:misc_RNA from 1 species
AUGAAGCGGAUACUGUGAAUU